UAACAACGGCCAAUUACCCAUCUCUGAAAACACAAGAACUGGCUAGGUCCAUCUCUAUUGACAAUUUGUAUUUUCAGAGAUGGGGAAUUGGCCGUUGUUA